rnacentral:rRNA from 1 species
UGAAGAGUUUGAUCAUGGCUCAGAUUGAACGCUGGCGGCAGGCCUAACACAUGCAAGUCGAGCGGUAGCACAGAGAGCUUGCUCUCGGGUGACGAGCGGCGGACGGGUGAGUAAUGUCUGGGAAACUGCCUGAUGGAGGGGGAUAACUACUGGAAACGGUAGCUAAUACCGCAUAAUGUCGCAAGACCAAAGUGGGGGACCUUCGGGCCUCAUGCCAUCAGAUGUGCCCAGAUGGGAUUAGCUAGUAGGUGGGGUAACGGCUCACCUAGGCGACGAUCCCUAGCUGGUCUGAGAGGAUGACCAGCCACACUGGAACUGAGACACGGUCCAGACUCCUACGGGAGGCAGCAGUGGGGAAUAUUGCACAAUGGGCGCAAGCCUGAUGCAGCCAUGCCGCGUGUGUGAAGAAGGCCYUCGGGUUGUAAAGCACUUUCAGCGGGGAGGAAGGCGGUGAGGUUAAUAACCUCAUCG